AACGGGUGAGUAAUGCGUGACCGACCUGCCCCAUGCUCCGGAAUAGCUCCUGGAAACGGGUGGUAAUGCCGGAUGUUCCACAUGAUCGCAUGUGAUUGUGGGAAAGAUUCUAUCGGCGUGGGAUGGGGUCGCGUCCUAUCAGCUUGUUGGUGAGGUAACGGCUCACCAAGGCUUCGACGGGUAGCCGGCCUGGAGGGCGACCGGCCACAUUGGGACUGAGAUACGGCCCAGACUCCUACGGGAGGCAGCAGUGGGGAAUAUUGCACAAUGGGCGCAAGCCUGAUGCAGCGACGCCGCGUGAGGGAUGGAGGCCUUCGGGUUGUAAACCUCUUUUGUUUGGGAGCAAGCCUUCGGGUGAGUGUACCUUUCGAAUAAGCGCCGGCUAACUACGUGCCAGCAGCCGCGGUAAUACGUAGGGCGCAAGCGUUAUCCGGAUUUAUUGGGCGUAAAGGGCUCGUAGGCGGCUCGUCGCGUCCGGUGUGAAAGUCCAUCGCUUAACGGUGGAUCUGCGCCGGGUACGGGCGGGCUGGAGUGCGGUAGGGGAGACUGGAAUUCCCGGUGUAACGGUGGAAUGUGUAGAUAUCGGGAAGAACACCGAUGGCGAAGGCAGGUCUCUGGGCCGUCACUGACGCUGAGGAGCGAAAGCGUGGGGAGCGAACAGGAUUAGAUACCCUGGUAGUCCACGCCGUAAACGGUGGACGCUGGAUGUGGGGCACGUUCCACGUGUUCCGUGUCGGAGCUAACGCGUUAAGCGUCCCGCCUGGGGAGUACGGCCGCAAGGCUAAAACUCAAAGAAAUUGACGGGGGCCCGCACAAGCGGCGGAGCAUGCGGAUUAAUUCGAUGCAACGCGAAGAACCUUACCUGGGCUUGGCAUGUUCCCGACGACGCCAGAGAUGGCGUUUCCCUUCGGGGCGGGUUCACAGGUGGUGCAUGGUCGUCGUCAGCUCGUGUCGUGAGAUGUUGGGUUAAGUCCCGCAACGAGCGCAACCCUCGCCCCGUGUUGCCAGCACGUUAUGGUGGGAACUCACGGGGGACCGCCGGGGUUAACUCGGAGGAAGGUGGGGAUGACGUCAGAUCAUCAUGCCCCUUACGUCCAGGGCUUCACGCAUGCUACAAUGGCCGGUACAGCGGGAUGCGACAUGGCGACAUGGAGCGGAUCCCUGAAAACCGGUCUCAGUUCGGAUCGGAGCCUGCAACCCGGCUCCGUGAAGGCGGAGUCGCUAGUAAUCGCGGAUCAGCAACGCCGCGGUGAAUGCGUUCCCGGGCCUUGUACACACCGCCCGUCAAGUCAUGAAAGUGGGCAGCACCCGAAGCCGGUGGCCUAACCCCUUGUGGGAUGGAGCCGUCUAAGGUGAGGCUCGUGAUUGGGACUAAGUCGUAACAAGGUA
rnacentral:rRNA from 1 species